rnacentral:tRNA from 1 species
AGUAAGGUCAGCUAAAU